UACGUAGGGUGCAAGCGUUGUCCGGAAUUAUUGGGCGUAAAGAGCUCGUAGGCGGUUUGUCGCGUCGAAUGUGAAAACCCGGGGCUCAACCCCGGGCCUGCAUUCGAUACGGGCAGACUAGAGUUCGGUAGGGGAGUCUGGAAUUCCUGGUGUAGCGGUGAAAUGCGCAGAUAUUCGGAAGAACACCAGUGGCGAAGGCGACUUACUGGACACAUAUUGACGCUGAGGUGCGAAAGCGUGGGGAGCAAACAGG
rnacentral:rRNA from 1 species